UACGUAGGGGGCAAGCGUUGUCCGGAUUUAUUGGGCGUAAAGCGCGUGUAGGCGGCCAGAUAGGUCUGCUGUGAAAACUCGAGGCUCAACCUCGAGCUGUCGGCGGAAACCAUCUGGCUAGAGUCCGGAAGAGGAGAGUGGAAUUCCUGGUGUAGCGGUGAAAUGCGUAGAGAUCCGGAGGAACACCGAAGGCGAAGGCAGUGUCCUGGCGCGUAACUGACGCUGAGGUGCGAAAGCCAGGGGAGCGAACGGG
rnacentral:rRNA from 1 species